UGGGGAAUCUUGCACAAUGGGGGCAACCCUGAUGCAGCGACGCCGCGUGAGCGAUGAAGCCCUUCGGGGCGUAAAGCUCUUUCGACCGGAACGAUAAUGACGGUACCGGGAGAAGAAGCUGCGGCUAACUACGUGCCAGCAGCCGCGGUAAUACGUAGGCAGCAAGCGUUGUUCGGAGUUACUGGGCGUAAAGAGUGCGUAGGCGGUUUUCUAAGUUCGGUGUGAAAUCUCCCGGCUUAACUGGGAGGGUGCGCCGAAGACUGGGAAGCUGGAGUGUGGGGAAGGCAGGCGGAAUUCCAGGUGUAGCGGUGAAAUGCGUAGAUAUCAGGAGGAACACCGGCGGUGUAGACGGCUUGCUAGACCAUAACUGACGCUGAGGCACGAAAGCGUGGGUAGCAAACA
rnacentral:rRNA from 1 species